AAUUGACCUCGGAUCAGGUAGGAAUACCCGCUGAACUUAAGCAUAUCAUA
rnacentral:rRNA from 1 species